AUUGAACGCUGGCGGCAGGCUUAACACAUGCAAGUCGAGCGGUAACAGGAAUUAGCUUGCUAAUUUGCUGACGAGCGGCGGACGGGUGAGUAACGCGUAGGAAUCUGCCUAGUAGUGGGGGACAACAUGUGGAAACGCAUGCUAAUACCGCAUACGCCCUACGGGGGAAAGGAGGGGAUCUUCGGACCUUUCGCUAUUAGAUGAGCCUGCGUGAGAUUAGCUAGUUGGUAGGGUAAAGGCCUACCAAGGCGACGAUCUCUAACUGGUCUGAGAGGAUGACCAGUCACACUGGGACUGAGACACGGCCCAG
rnacentral:rRNA from 1 species